ensembl:lncRNA novel transcript, antisense to WWOX
GUUUUCAACUCACUACUUUUGUCUGUGCUAUUCUUUCAUUCAGGAUACCGCCCCAACCUCUCCACCUGGCUAAAUCACUCAUCCUUUGAGAUGCAGAAGCCAAAGAGAUCCUCAGCACAUACCUCCAGAAAGCCAGUUACUGCAGGGGAUGCGUACGGACCAGCCAGGAUCCUUAAAGCAUAAAGGCAAGAGCCAAGUCUCAGUAAACUCUGCAUGGGCCACAGCUCGGAAAAGAAAAAAACCUGUUAUAUCAUGGGAGCUCAGUGCUUGCUGAACUGAACUGAUUCACAUCAUGACUUGGGAUUCAUGAACCAGAAGCACAGGAAAUUAAUAAAAACUGAAAACGAGCCAAAGAGAAGGGAAAGGCUCUCUUACCACUGUUGAGAAUGUUAUGUUUAAUCCCUGCAAGCAGUAGAGACUCAGUGUACUUCCAUGAAGUGCUGCUUGGGCAUUCAUGAGGCAUUAAGGGAGAAAGAAUUUUUAAAAUCUUUGUCUUCUCAAAAGGGAAUACCACGAUGGGGCCAUGUCUAGAGCAAGGUGUCUAAGGUGAUUCUAGGGCCCUCGCCCAAGAAACGAAAGCAGCAUUGAACAUGUCCAGGAAGGAUGUGAAGCCUGAAGCCAAUGCAGAAGACAAAGCUAGAUAACCCCUGUCUCUAAGACAUAGGGACUUAGAACUCUUACCCUGAUGAGCAACAUUGAACAUUGGAUGUGUUCACCAGAAUGGAAGGAGACACACUCCUGCCGAAAUCAUGAAGGGCAAACUGACCCAGAAAAGGGACAGGUCAAGGAAGGUAUUACCUCUGCAUAGUUCUAGGUGUCCUGCUUAACUCAUUCAGGAAUUUCGGGCCAGAGGGAUAUCCAACAGGAAUUCUAACCUGAAGAGUUUAGAAACCAGUAGGAGAAUCAGGAUGAAUUCAGAAAUUACUAUAAUAUGCAUUUUCAAGUGAUAAAUCCCAUCAAAAACAGAAAAAGUGCUUGAAGAACUGGAAGGAACAGUGAUCAUUCUUGUCAGAUGGAAUCUUAAAAUCCAGUGGGUUUCAAAGGAUGAGCAGGAGCUGGACAUGAAGGGAUUGGAGGAUGGGGACUGGAAAUGGGGAGUUCAUUGCAAUCAGAAGGAAGAGCAAGAAAGGAACAAAAAGCAAGCAGUGUUUGGGGAGACCAGGAUGUGAUUCCAGUUUGGCCAAAAUAUAGGGUAUACUGGGAGAAUCUAUUGAGGUUUUGGGAGUGUAUUUGUUUGUAGUUUGAAAACACCUAAGCAAUUUUGAAGAGAAGCAGACUCUUUAAGUCAGAUGCUGGGUUCUCCAGUCCAAAUAUGCCAAUAUAAUUGUGUCUGGUCAAUGUCUAUCCUGUCCAUCCCUCCUGAGUGCCAGAUCUAAAUCCAGGUGCCAAUGGAUGACUUCCACUUGGGUGCCCCACAGGCGUCAUGAAUUCAGUAUGACUGAAAAGGACUCCUCCUAUCUUCAGCGAUGGUUCCACUACACAAUACACUGUCCAAGCCAGAAGUCCCAAACUAGCCUUCUGUCCUUCCUUCUCCAUUCACCACGCCUGUCAUCCCCUUCAGAGCUGUUGGCCAAAUCUUGUUGAUUUUACCAAGUAUCUAUCAAAAUGUUUCCUCUUCCUCCCUGUACUCACUGCAAUCACUUUUGCUCAAGGGCUCAUCAUUUCGUGCCUGGGUGACUAGAGUUGUUUCCCAGCAGGUCUCCCCACCCUCCUUUCUCACAUGGCUGCCAGAACGGUCUUCUGAAAGGCAAAUCUGACCAUUCGACAACUCUGCUCUAAAUUCCUCCUAUGGAUCCCCA